rnacentral:rRNA from 1 species
CGAUAACGAACGAGACCUUAACCUGCUAAAUAGCCAGGCUGUUCUCCGAACGGUCGUCGGCUUCUUAGAGGGACUAUUGGCGUUUAGCCGAUGGAAGUUUGAGGCAAUAACAGGUCUGUGAUGCCCUUAGAUGUUCUGGGCUGCACGCGCGCUACACUGAUGGUUGCAUCGAGCUUACAACCUUGAUCGGAAGGUCUGGGUAAUCUUGUGAAACUCAGUCGUGCUGGGGAUAGAGCAUUGCAAUUAUUGCUCUUCAACGAGGAAUGCCUAGUAAGCGUGAGUCAUCAGCUCGCGUUGACUACGUCCCUGCCCUUUGUACACACCGCCCGUCGCUACUACCGAUUGAAUGGCU